UUGCAGUGGUGCAUUUUAUUAAUCAACACAUCAUUCUGAAAUCGGAUGUGUAGAAAAGUAAUGACUAAGCACA